rnacentral:rRNA from 1 species
AUUGAACGCUGGCGGCAGGCCUAACACAUGCAAGUCGAGCGAGCGGCGGACGGGUGAGUAAUGUCUGGGAAACUGCCUGAUGGAGGGGGAUAACUACUGGAAACGGUAGCUAAUACCGCAUACCAUCAGAUGUGCCCAGAUGGGAUUAGCUUGUUGGUGGGGUAACGGCUAACCAAGGCGACGAUCCCUCGCUGGUCUGAGAGGAUGACCAGCCAAACUGGAACUGAGACACGGUCCAGACUUCUACGGGAGGCAGCAGUGGGGAAUAUUGCACAAGGGGGGCAAGCCUGAUGCAGCCAUGCCGCGUGUAUGAAGAAGGCCUUCGGGUUGGAAAGUACUUUCAGCGGGGAGGCGUUACCCGCAGAAGAAGCACCGGCGAACUCCGUGCCAGCAGCCGCGGUAAUAC